UGGGGCUGUAGUCAAAGUAGACUUUAUAGCUACUGGGUCAUGGUGUAAAGCGGGUGCAGUUUUUUACAGAGGCGUUUUGGCAUUGUUAGUCUUUCGCUAUAAAUAACAAGCUCAAUUAUAUUUAGGUGUCUCGAACAACUGAACCGCUGUAAAGGGCCACAGUCAGAUGUGUAGACACUAUAGUGUAACAAAAACAGCCUUUUCCCAGGCGGCGCGUUAGCAAAGCUAACAGUUCCUUCUACUCAGAGCCACACAAAGGGACUGCGGUGGAUGGAUGUGAUAAUACUGACGUUGAGGUUAACGAUGGAAUUUUUUUGAAUAGUGGAGGGAGUAGUUGAAAAACAGUUAGAACACAGACAAUACCGUAAGUUCUGGACUAACUCUACGUGACUGUCAGUAGAGCCGUCUUUGUUAGGGAACAUCCCAGACUUGACUUAGGAUUCUGGACUUGUCACUGACUAAACUACACAUUGUGGCAAACUGCGUUGCUAAACGUUUGGGUGAUUUAAAAUCAAUGCGUUUUUCAUGUUAACGCCGUGUAAAUAAUGAAUCUUUAGUUAUGGCUAUAAUUGUAGAAAUAAAGAUGCUAAUAGACGUAUGGUCUGAAUUUAAAACCAGGUAGCUCACUAGCCCGCUCAUAUUUUAGUAAAGUAUUUCUUAGCAAAGCUAAUUACGGUAGCUAACGAACCCAGUUACUGUAAAUUGGAGUUGGGAGUUUUUCAGAAGAGAGAAGUAUCUUAUAUGUCGUUUCCGACGACAGAAAUACUUAUGGUAUUCCCCUUGGUGUUGUCAAGUUUGUCUUUGUGUCUGUAAACCAUUACGAGCGAUUUAACGUCACAGAUAUUUGGCUAGCAGGCUAAUUAGUUAGCUGAGCUAAUGCUAACGUUAUAGCUACACAUUACAGGGUAACUACAGAGGGCAAGUUACUGUUAGCCUGUAGUCUUAGCAGUUAGCGGUAGUUGGUAUAAGUGCCAGAAAAGAACACAGGCCAUUAUUCUUCUUCGACAGAAACAAUGGCAACUCCGACAAACGAGGCCUUGUUUUUGAUAAAGGAUGUGAAGCCUGGGUCGAAAAAUUUGAAUAUCGUAUUCAUUGUUUUGGAAAUAGGACGGGUAACCAAAACGAAGGAUGGACAUGAGGUUCGCUCCUGCAAGGUGGCAGACAAGAGUGGAAGCAUUGCCAUUUCAGUUUGGGAUGAACUGGGCAGCCUUAUUCAACCAGGAGAUAUUAUCAAGCUAACCAGAGGCUAUGCAUCUAUAUGGAAAGGCUGCCUAACCCUAUACACUGGAAGAGGAGGGGAUCUACAGAAGAUUGGAGAGUUCUGCAUGGUGUAUUCAGAAGUGCCCAACUUCAGUGAACCAAACCCAGAGCUGCUAGCCCAGGCCAACCAGCAAAACAAGUCUGGGAAACCAGACCAGAAUCAAAGAGGAAACUCCCCACCCAAUCAGAAUUCAGGUACACCUGCACCACCAGGUAAUGGUGCCAUGCAGCCGUUUGCCAACAACACCAACCCGCCCUCCGGUGCUCCUCGAGACCCCUCAUUUGGGAGUGUGGGGCGACCCAACGGGCGGUCACCAGGAAAUGGCGCCCCUCCGGUUACUGCUGCAGGACCCCCAGCAGCCACUAAAUCAUCAGUUACCAUUAGCAACGGCAGGGACCCACGACGUGCCAAAAGAUGAAAAUGGGGUUAUUGUGGAAAGUAUCCCCCAUUCCCCAUCCUUUCUGGCCUUUUUCCCCAGUACAGAAAACAAAACCAUGAAUAAAUUAGACUACUAUGAGACUUUUUCUACAGGUGAACAUAGUCAGAUGUGUCAUUUUGUCAUGUUUUGGUGCGCCGUCAGCAGCACAGUGUGAUUGUGAUCUACCACUAUAAGAUGCACUAAAGCAGGACUUCCUGAAGUCGAGCCUCAGCGCUUUGACCAGUGCUCAGCCUUCGGUCACCAUCGUCCUCUUCAAUCUCACUGCAGAUUAUUGCCAGUUCUGUGCCAGUGUUACCCCCCCACCCCACCCCCAACGCCCUAAACUGAAUCUUUUCCCUCCUGUUUUACAACCAUACUCCCUACUUGAACACUUGAUGCACUUUCUUCUUCUUAAUUUAUGGUGAGAAAACAGUGGCUGUCAUAAAAUCAGGAAAUCCGUUUCUACUGUUUUUUUUAGUGGAAAAGGCCUUAAGUUGGUGGAAAUGAGUUUGACUGAAUGCAAGGGCAAAAUUUGUCAAAAGGGUCUUCCCUCUCUUAACCAAACUGUAUGUGAAGUGACUGUGACAGGAAAGGUGUUUUGAAUUUUUAACAAUAGAUCAUUAUUAGUGUUUUUUUUAUUUUGUUUUUCUCUUUUCCAUUAGUUGUACGUUUUGUCGAGGUGGGACCACAAUACUGAUUCAACCACUGGCAGAACAAUCCUCCAAAUAAAUUGUUACCAUAAUCCUCCUGCCACGUUUGGGGUUUUGUAGUCUGUUUAAAGCACCAGUUUGUAGUUCUGAGCCAUACUUUCAAUCUUUUUCAGCAGGGUUUCACCUCCAAACAUGGAAUGGGGUCUUGCAUAGUGAAUGUGGGCACAUUUUUUACAAACACGUCUUGUGAGCAUCCACACAAGUAUACGUUCAGACCACAGAGGGACUCAGAUCAUUGUUGCAGAGCACACGCCCCACAUCUGGAACAUAUCCUACAGGCUGUUGUCAUUAGCGACCAUCGGAAGACUGAAUAAAUAAGCUUCCCAUCUG